CACCCAAUCCCCACGCGCCUCCUUUCUCCCCAAUCCCCUCACUCCUCUGCCCAUCCCCAUCCUCUCCAAUCCGAGCUUGAUUCUCCUCCCCCAAUCGCCGGCCUCCCUCGCCCACGGCUCGGUCCCUGCUGCCGUCACAACCACCACCAGCCUCACCGCGCAAGCAGAAGCAGCAGCGCGCCAUGGUCUUCCGACGGCUGGCGCGGGAGAGAGAGGAGGCAGCGUACGAAGGAGAGCUGGCGGGGGAGGUGGAGUGGCAGCAGUAGGAAGAGGUGGACUGGAAGAUCGCCUCCUAGAAGCCUCUCUCCGCCAAGGGAUCCUGUGCCUCCUAUUGUCGCCAAGCUCCUCUGCCUCCACCGUGUCUCUCUUCGCCGUGUGUGGUGUCUAGAAGGCCAUCUUUGCUAGAACCAAGAUGGACAAAGAGGCCAAGCCACCUACGCCAUCAUCUCCUGCGUCGUGCACGGCUGCAGAGACAUACGGACGAUCAGGGGUCAUCGCCGACAUCCUUGCCCCUCAAUAUCCAUAGCAGGAACCCCUCGACACCACCAAGAGUUGACCUCGACGACAUCGUGAUCCUUUCCUUUGGCUUUCCACUUGUUAUUUAUAGCAUCAGUGAUCGACCGAGACUGCACAAAAUGAAAAUAAAACUCCACCUAUAAUUGGUGUUGCAGCCGAAACAAUCGUGAGUGUCUUAAACCUUAUGGAAGAACUAACAUUAAAGGCAUACCCAGGAUCCCAGGUAUCAUAAUUCUGCUACGCACAAGGCAAGGAAGUGCCUAAUUGGCCCCUUGCUGUAUGUUUCAGGGGUGAUUUUGUACAGAGGAAUAUGUGCACUACUAUGCUUGAUAAUGAGUUGGAAGGUAAAUUAUUCAGCCGAUCGAUUCUAAGUGUGGACUUGAAUUAGGACUCGAACCAAGGUCUGGUUAUUGUGGAAGUACCCUUAAGAGGUUUAGUUAUUGAAGGUUGACAGUGCCUUGAGAUAUGUGAGCAACCAGUGCUCUAGAGAUAUCCCUUACACUGCAACUGGAAAAACACAUGGGGUAAUCAACUAAUCUUGAAUUUCUUUAUAUUUAUUUAGCAUGAUGUAUAUUCUAAUUGUUUUUCUAAUACUUCUUAUCAUGAUGAUGAAGUGGAAUAUUUUAUCAUCCAAGAUAUUGGACUGCAAUGGUUGGACAUUUUUAAUAAACUUAGAUUGUCAUAUAUCCAUGGUUUUAAAGGCGUCGCCUAAGCGUCGCUUUAGGGACGCCUAAGCGUCCAAGCGCUCCCCCUCCGCCUUACAAAAACACCCGCCUUAAGCGCCUAGGCAUCCAAAGCGUCCGCCUAGGCGUCGCCUAAGCGUCAGAGCGCCCCCCCCUUGGCCUUAGGACGCCUUGGCGCCUUUAAAACCAUGCAGAUAUCUCAUCUUCAAGACUUUGUUGGCUAAAUUAUUCUUAUGUUUGAUAUGCUGUGUGGUGCCGGUUGCUAUACUUUGGAGCAUCUUUUCAGAUUAUAUGGUCAAAACAUGGAGCCUGGGGGGUAAGCUUAUUGCGGUUGGUGAUUUCGAGUUGUAGAAUAAGCACAUUGAGAAUAUGCAUAGCCUCCCAAUUGCAUAUGGAUGUAAAAAAUAUGGAUGCAUAAUUUAAAUGCACUGCAAAUGAAGGUAGCUGGGGAUGGAAAUAUAGAUCUUUUAUUUGGCAAACUUGAUUCUUUGUUUAUUAUAGUCUACAAAUUUCAUCUUCUUAUUGGGGACGGAAAGUAGGUCUGUGAACUCAAAUGAAAUGUAGCCAUGCCCAUGCUACUAAAUUGUAGAAUUUUAUUUGAGAAUUUUUGCUUUCUGUUUUUGGCCUUGUAGUGUUAGGUGUUCGUCAUCUAUACAGAAAACGGGCCAAAUUAUGUUACCCCAUUUACAGUUACCCGGACUUCAAUUUUUAUUUGUUACUGUCUUUUUCGACAUGUAUGCUAUGAAUUUCUUGAAGGAUAAGUCGUUUAAGUUUGGGGAAUUGCUUAACUCUUCUCUCUUCUCAUAUUUUGCUUCUUCAAUGAUAUCAUCAUCUAAGAAUGCAAAUUAUUGAUUGUUGAAAGAUUCCAUUAUUUUAGAAAGAAACUAAAGGAUAGUUCCAUUCGUGCAGUAGCAUCUUCUGAUCAGUUAUCUCUGUUUCCCAAAGCAUUUUUAGAUCUACUAAUCUUUUCUAUGUCAAAUUAUUUAAU